rnacentral:rRNA from 1 species
UACGUAGGGGGCAAGCGUUGUCCGGAAUCAUUGGGCGUAAAGAGCGUGUAGGCGGCCAGCUAAGUCCGCUGUGAAAUCUCGAGGCUCAACUUCGAGCUGUCGGUGGAAACUGUCUGGCUAGAGUCCGGAAGAGGAGAAUGGAAUUCCUGGUGUAGCGGUGAAAUGCGCAGAUAUCAGGAGGAACACCGAUUGCGAAGGCAGCUCGCUGGGACGUAACUGACGCUGAGACGCGAAAGCGUGGGGAGCAAACAGG